AAGGAUCAUUAAUGAAAUUUAUGACUGGAGUUGAAGCUGGCCUUUAAAAACGGCAUGUGCACGCUCCUUUCACUAAUCCACACACACCUGUGCACCUUCGCGGGGGUCUCUUCGUUAACUCGAAGAGGCUCGCGUCCCUUUACACACCCUUUGUAUGUCUUAAGAAUGUCUACUCGAUGUAAUAAAACGCAUCUAAUACAACUUUCAACAACGGAUCUCUUGGCUCUCGCAUCGAUGAAGAACGCAGCGAAAUGCGAUAAGUAAUGUGAAUUGCAGAAUUCAGUGAAUCAUCGAAUCUUUGAACGCACCUUGCGCCCUUUGGUAUUCCGAAGGGCACACCUGUUUGAGUGUCGUGAAAUUCUCAACCCUCUUCACUUUUGUGGACGUAGUGGAUUGGACUUGGAGGCUUUGCCGGGCUUCACCGCUCGGCUCCUCUCAAAUGCAUUAGUGCGUCUUGUUGCGACGUGCGCCUCGGUGUGAUAAUUAUCUACGCUGUGGUGUGCUUGCUUCUGUGGAGACGCGCUUUCUAACCGUCCGAAAGGACAGCUUUCAUCGAACUUUGACCUCAAAUCAGGUGGGACUACCCGCUAACCUUAA
rnacentral:rRNA from 1 species